ensembl:lncRNA
CUAAUAUAAAAAUAAGCCUAUUUUACGUCACAAAGAUGCUCAUAGAGGUUUUCUUUAUGCUCAUCUAUGUCAUCAAACACAAGCUGGACCUCAACAUGAAGGUACCAUGAGCAAGUCGGUCACCUUCCCUCUCUGUUUAGACCAGUAAAUUGCAAUAUGUCUUUUGAGGUGGGGUACUCAAUGUCCUGUUAAAUGCCUUUUACACAGAUCUGCUUCACAAUCCCUUUAUAAAGUUCCCUGUGCAGGUAAACAGUGUUCAGCACAAAAUGAGCGUCCAACUGUAAAUAUAGACAGUUGUCUUUAGUACUGUGUUUCUUACCACAUUAAUUUCCUGCAUUCCUGUUCCAACAUGAAUGCCAUUUCCCAGUGCAGAGGAGUGUCAGCUGUAGACAGUUUACAGAGAUCAGCCUCAGGGUACUAAUACUCUGGAAUUAAAAAGUUAUCCAUUCCUUAGAGACUCCUGUCAUCUCUGGAAUGAAGGCUGAUUUGGCAGCACACAGACAGGAUACUAAGUGUACUUUUUGGAGCAGGGAUUCCUAAAAUGUUCCCAGCAGUGGGAAAGAUUAUUCUUUCUGUAGCAUCACUACUGGAAUUGCAUAUUUUUAGAAGCCAGGGAAUGACUUUGAGGAAUGGUUGAUUCAUCUCCUUUAAUUCCCACUACCACCAAAUGUUUUCAGACCAUUCUCCUUGCCCUUGGCAGGCUGGUCACUCACUUCAUCUCCCUGUGUAAAAGUGUGAGGGAGGAAAGAAUGCUUUACAGCUGCCAGGAAGAAGUGGCUGCAAGAAAUACAGAAGGGAACAAGAAGAAAAUAAGGAAGAGGCAGAGAGGCUCAUAACUCAUUCUCAUCACUGCUGGGAAGCAAUCACCAGGUCUCUUGCACAAUUCAGAGAAGAGGUCUUCAUAGUGAUUUAAGCAACAUGUUUCAGCCAAGGUAACGCAUGACAUAGCAAUGUCAUGGAAUGUGCAUUUUAAAUAAGAAUUAAAUGAGUAUUUCUGCACUUUAUUUCAACAGUGAUCACCCAUCUGCAUCCAAUUUAGGAUUUAGAGUUUUUUAAAUAAUAUUCUCAACAAUAGUUAUCUUUAAACCAAUCAAUAAAAAUAAUUACAUUACUGAAUAAUGAUAGCAAUGACUUGAAUUGCUCUCACUACCAUGAAUUAAAUCCCAGAUAUCCAUCAGCAACUAUGCUGGCCACUUUUCCCUUGACUGUGAAGAGCUUGGAAGCACUGAGUCCUGGGUUUAAUUUUGGAAAUGUGAAUCUCACCUUGCAAAAUCUUAUUUGAUCAAGCUUUAAAAAAAAAAAUUAAAAAGACUUUAAUAGUUCUUUUAGCUGUGCAGAUGUAACUUCUGCAGUUAACACAGAAAGCAAUACUUCAGUAUCCCAGCUGAAGGUGGUAAGUCCCUAGUCCAAGCCUAACAUUAUCAAAGGGCCUAGAGAUGGUCUCUACCAGAUUGGAAAUUUGUGUCUUGAGAGCCAGCUUAAAGACUAAAUUAUUGUAAUAUUCCAUAUGCUGGUGGACAGGUUCAUCCAGACUCAGGUACUUUAUUUAUAUCUGUAAUGCCAAAUUUGUGCCAUUACUUCAGGGCAUGUAGAACUUACCAGCCCUGCUUAAGAAGUCUACAGAAUGAGUUAGUGGUGUACUUCUAAGCACGGUGUAUAGAUUUCUUGCUUCAACUCCCAAAUCUUGCUUUUCCUUACAGCAUUGCAUUCAUACACAUAGACUCCUAUGAAAGAUCAAGAGACACUGUCUAUUAUACAGGCACAUGCAGAAAUAACACAUCUGAGUACAAUGCCACAAAAAAAGAGUGGCAAACGGUCACAGUUGUUGAGACUAAGGUUAAAUUUACUCAUAAAACUUCUCUGUCAACAAGUUAUUUAAGGCUUGUCACUAUAUUUUUAUCCUUCCUGCAGGUCUGAGUUUCUAGAUCAUUACUGCAAAUUAAUGAUAAAGAUAUUUGAACUUCCUUCCAGUGGAUGGAAACAUGUAUUUUAGAAACAUAUUCCUCUACUAGUUUAUCACAGGCAGAAUUUAAAGGUUUCCAAGAAUCAUAUCAGGCUAUUUAUAUAUUAGAUGAGAAACAAGAAGGAUAGACAUUACUUUUAAAAUUUCAGCAACAAUAAGAGUAACUUAUAAUUGCACCAUUCAGACAUAUUCUGGAGAUAAAUGAGCAGAUGCGAGUACGUCUGUAAGUUCUAAUCAGUUUAACUUAGUUAUAAGUGAGAAUGUAGAUUUUUCACAAUAUGUAGUUUAUACCAAAUGAAAAAGAAAUGUGAUGAAAACAGUCAGAAAAAUAGCCUACAGUCUUUACGGUGUGCUUGAAUUUGCAAGGUGCACAGCCUCUAUUAAUGUUCACAGGGUAGUAUAAGAGUUGGCAGUUGGCAUGAUUUCUAAAGAAGUAAAACUCAUGCUUCAGAGAGUUCCUUAAGAGAAUGGUUCUACUUCCUCAGUGAUAGAUUUGUUUGUGGCAACCACAGACAAUAGCAUGUUUAAGUUUCUGUACUAUAAGUAGCCUUCACCUAAGAGAUUGAAUGUCACAUUGAUGCAGAUGGCAUCCUUGACUACUGCUAUCACUUCACGAUAUAGAAGUUACGUUAAACUCAUGUAACUGCAGCUUUCUGCAAAGAAAUGUUACAAUAGGCCACAGAAAAUUUCAUAGAAAACUACAAAUACAGUACAGUACCUCCAGCUUAUGAUAACGUCCACUGAAAGAAACAGAAAGAAGGCAGAAGACAGCGUUAUGUUGGGAUUCCUAUGAAAAUCCCACGGAUCGCCAAAGGCUUAGAGUCUCCACUUACAAUAUUUAUACUUCUGAAAAUUAUAGUUUAAAGCCUCUGAAGAAUUUUAAGUACAACUCCAUUUGAAAUUUUAGACUUGCUGUUUUACUACAAUAUUCUCAGCCCUGGUAGGAUUAGCAUUAUACACUGAAGAGUGUAGUCAAAACAGAAGUACUUCAGACCUCUUUCUCUUCAGCAGUACAGCAAGAGGAAGUCUCUCAUAAUUAGUUUAGGUUUUAAGGUGGAAUAGCAUCUCACUGUUACCUCCUUUACAUAUCUUUUUGAGUGUACAACAUGGAAGUUUUUUCCUACUUGCUGGUGUUGAUCUGCUUGUGCAUUUAAGAUAGAGGAGGUGGAGAGAGAGGUGUUAGGAAGGGAGAGUGAAAAGGAAGGGAAAGCUGGUUAAUGUUUUUCUUUUGGCUUGUUUUUAUGAGUCACUCUACUAAGUAUUUGCAUUAGCAGAUCUCCCGCUGCUGCUAGAUCAUUCAAUUGUUUGUUUAGUUGUUCUGCCUCAUGAAAAAAAUCCAACAACACUGAAUUUUUAUAGAACUUUGUAUUUUACUAAAUAAUUAAAUCUCUAAGAACCAAAUAAGUGCCCAUCUCUGUGGUCCCUAAAGCAAUAGAAGCUGCCCCAAAGUCUGUGCUACUACAUACUUCACUGAAGGUUACAGAACCAUACUUUUGCUUCCUCCUGAUUGAGCUUGAUCAGAAAAAGUGAGAACAACAUAACUGAAAUACCACAAUAACCAAGUUUAAAGUUCAAAAUUUUCACUCCAACAUGUGAAGUAUAGUGUUGCUUAACAUAGAGCUACAUUGGUGAAACCAAACAUUUAGUAUAACUUUGAUCAAAUCACUUUGAAAGAUUUGUAUCUCUCCCUUCAGGUAUGAAACUAAUAUUGCUCAAAUGCAUAUCAAAUUAGAUUCUGCACAGGCACCAAAAUUGUCAUUGUCUUCUUCCUGCAGAACAGAGUCAUCAGAAAAUCUUGCUACAGUGUUGAAAAAGAUUCGAAAUCUAAGCAGAAUUCUAUCACAGCCAGCAGCCUACCAGCAGCUAACUCUAAGGAAAGCAAAGGAAUAAAAAACACUUUUUUUUUUCCCUCCUAUCUACAAGAGACUAAACAGCAAUUUUCUCUUCAGUGUUCUUUUAUCUCUUGCUUAUUCUUCAGCCUUCUAGAUUACCUUAGCACUCUGCUUCCAAUAAACCUUUUUUCAUUUACAAGAGUGCCAGCAUAUGUUAAUUUAAAUUGAAGCUAGAAAUCUGUUCAUUAGAUUAAAAGGCAAUAAAAGCAUCAGAACUUACCUGUUCACAGAGGAUAGUUCCGAUUUCCAGUCUGACAGACUUGAUCCCAAUAGGAGCAUUUGAAAAUGAAGCUCUUCAAAACAGUUCUAUAUCUUCUUCAUGAGUUGCUCACUUCAUUUUUCCAUCUCUUCAAUCAAAAUGACUAAUAGGGGGAAAAUGGCUGUUUAAAAGCCAUAAAAACCUUGUCCUGGUUCUAAAAGAAUCAGUAUAUUAAAAAGAGCUUUUCUUCAUCACAGACUUCUCUCUACGCAACUUUCUCUUAAGCAGAGUUCAAUCCCAAACAAUGAGUGCAUAUAAAUGGUGUCUUCUUAUCACAUCUGUUCCUGGCGUGAAUUCAGAGAUGCAAGUGCUGACUUCAGUAACAAAAAUACUUUUUUUUUUUUAUUUUUUUUUUUUUUAAGUUACUUGUUAUUCUUGCUGCACCAACAUAACCAAGGGAAUAUGAGCUAUAGCUCUUCACCAUCAUCAACAGAACCAUGGGAUAAUUAAAGGACUCACUGCCUCGGUGAGAUUUAAAACGUAGCUUACCCACCCUUCAAAGUAUUUGUCACCUGUUAUUAUCGGCUAGAAGACACAAAGCUAGCAGAUCAAGUGUAUAGUUGCC